rnacentral:misc_RNA from 1 species
GAUGAAGAACGUAGCGAAAUGCGAUAAGUAAUGUGAAUUGCAGAAUUCAGUGAAUCAUCGAAUCUUUGAACGCACCUUGCGCCCCUUGGUUAUUCCAAAGGGCAUGCCUGUUUGAGUAUCAUGAACACCUCAACUCUUGUGGUUUCCCACAAUGAGCUUGGACUGUGGAGGUUUUGUUGGCCCUGUGGUCAGCUCCUCUCAAAUGGAUCAGCUUACCGGUGUUUGGUGGCAUUACGGGUGUGAUAACUAUCUACGGUCGUGGUCGUCUCCAAAUAACCUCCAGUGAUGGAGGUUCGCUGGAGCUUAUAAAUGUCUCUCCCCAGUGAAGACAGCCUUUGAACGUUCGAUCUCAAAUCAGGUAGGACUACCCGCUGAACUUAAGCAUAUCAAUAAGCGGAGGA